rnacentral:rRNA from 1 species
GAUGAACGCUGGCGGCGUGCCUAAUACAUGCAAGUCGAGCGAAAAGAUAAGGAGCUUGCUCCUUUGACGUUAGCGGCGGACGGGUGAGUAACACGUGGGUAACCUACCUAUAAGACUGGAAUAACUCCGGGAAACCGGGGCUAAUGCCGGAUAACAUUUAGAACCGCCUGGUUCUAAAGUGAAAGAUGGUUUUGCUAUCACUUAUAGAUGGACCCGCGCCGUGUUAGCUAGUUGUUAAGGUAACGGCUUACCAAGGCAACGCUACGUAGCCGACCUUAGGGGGUGAUCGGCCACACGGGAACUGAGACACGGUCCAUACGCCUACGGGAGGCAGCAGUAGGGAAUCUUCCGCAAUGGGCGAAAGCCUGACGGAGCAACGCCGCGUGAGUGAUGAAGGUCUUCGGAUCGUAAAACUCUGUUAUUAGGGAAGAACAAAUGUGUAAGUAACUGUGCACGUCUUGACGGUACCUAAUCAGAAAGCCACGGCUAACUACGUG